ACUGCUCAGUAACACGUGGAUAACCCGCCCUAGGGGAGGGGAUAACCCCGGGAAACUGGGGAUAAUACCCUAUAGGUUACAGAUGCUGGAAUGCCCUGUAACCAAAAACUCCGGCGCCCUAGGAUGGAUCUGCGGCCGAUUAGGUUGUUGUUGGGGUAACGGCCCAACAAGCCCGUAAACGGUACGGGUUGUGGGAGCAAGAGCCCGGAGUUGGAUUCUGAGACGCGAAUCCAGGCCCUACGGGGCGCAGCAGGCGCGAAACCUUUACAAUGCGGGCAACCGUGAUAAGGGAACCUCGAGUGCCUGUAAACGCAGGCUGUUCAGGUGUUUAAACCGCACCUGGAGAAAGGGCCGGGCAAGACCGGUGCCAGCCGCCGCGGUAAUACCGGCGGCUCGAGUGGUGGCCGCUUUUAUUGGGCUUAAAGCGUUCGUAGCUGGGUUGUUAAGUCUCUUGGGAAAUCUGGCGGCUUAACCGUCAGGCGUCUAAGGGAUACUGGCAAUCUUGGAACCGGGAGAGGUGAGGGGUACUUCGGGGGUAGGGGUGAAAUCCUGUAAUCCUCGAGGGACCACCUGUGGCGAAGGCGCCUCACCAGAACGGCUUCGACAGUGAGGGACGAAAGCUGGGGGAGCAAACCGGAUUAGAUACCCGGGUAGUCCCAGCCGUAAACGAUGCGCGUUAGGUGUAUCGGUGACCACGAGUUACCGAGGUGCCGAAGGGAAACCGUGAAACGCGCCGCCUGGGAAGUACGGUCGCAAGGCUGAAACCUAAAGGAAUUGGCGGGGGAGCAC
rnacentral:rRNA from 1 species